UACGGAAGGCAGCAGUGGGGAAUAUUGGACAAUGGGCGAAAGCCUGAUCCAGCCAUGCCGCAUGAGUGAAGAAGGCCUUCGGGUUGUAAAGCUCUUUUAGUGAGAAAGAUAAUGACGGUACUCACAGAAGAAGUCCUGGCUAACUCCGUGCCAGCAGCCGCGGUAAUACGGAGAGGGCUAGCGUUAUUCGGAAUUAUUGGGCGUAAAGAGCGCGUAGGCUGAUUAGUAAGUUAAAAGUGAAAUCCCAAAGCUUAACUUUGGAAUUGCUUUUUAAAACUGCUAGUCUAGAGAUUGAAAGAGGAUAGAGGAAUUCCUAGUGUAGAGGUGAAAUUCGUAAAUAUUAGGAGGAACACCAGUGGCGAAGGCGUCUAUCUGGUUCAAAUCUGACGCUGAGGCGCGAAGGGCGUGGGGAGCAAACGAGUAUAGAC
rnacentral:rRNA from 1 species